GGUACUCACUUUGAUAUCCCAUACACUAAAAUUGGAAUAAUACAGAGAAAUUAGCAUGGCUUUGAGCAAGGAUGACAUGCAGAUUUGUGAAGCAUUCCAUAUUUUC
rfam:Tupaia chinensis contig72894, whole genome shotgun sequence.